rnacentral:rRNA from 1 species
UACGUAGGGGGCGAGCGUUAUCCGGAAUUACUGGGCGUAAAGCGCACGCAGGCGGUUCGCCAAGUUUGGAGUGACAGUUGUCGGCUCAACCGACAAAGGACUUCAAAAACUGGUGAACUUGAGGACGAGAGAGGAACAUGGAACUCCAGGUGUAGUAGUGAAAUGCGCAGAUAUCUGGAAGAACACCAAUGGCGAAGGCAAUGUUCUGGCUCGUUUCUGACGCUCAGGUGCGAAAGCCAGGGGAGCGAACGGG